rnacentral:tRNA from 1 species
GAGGCUAUAGCUCGUUGGUAGGGUGUGUGCUUAGCAUGCAGGAGGUCCUGGGUUCAAUCCCCAGUGCCUCCA